UAGUAUAUAAUCAGCAAUGGCAUCCCCAUUCAGAUGUUUCACUAGUAUAUAAUCAGCAAUGGCAUCCCCAUUCAGAUGUUCACUAGUAUAUAAUCAGCAAUGCCAUCCCCAUUCAGAUGUUCACUAGUAUGUAAUCAGCAAUGCCAUCCUCAUUCAGUUAACACUCUGCUUAUAGAAUGGCCGGGAGAGCAUAUAACAAGUAUAUAC
rnacentral:lncRNA from 1 species